rnacentral:rRNA from 1 species
AGCUCCAAUAGCGUAUAUUAAAGUUGUUGCAGUUAAAAAGCUCGUAGUUGGAUUUGUGGUUGUUGCGUGUUCUCCGGCACUUGAUUGUGUUGUGAGUUUCGUGCAACUCCAUCCUUGGGCGGAAUCUAUGUGGCAUUUGGUUGUCGUGUAGGGGAUGCCCAUCGUUUACUGUGAAAAAAUUAGAGUGUUCAAAGCAGGCUUACGCCGUUGAAUAUAUUAGCAUGGAAUAAUGAGAUAGGACCUUGGUACUAUUUUGUUGGUUUGCGCACCUUGGUAAUGAUUAAUAGGGGUAGUUGGGGGUAUUCGUAUUCCAUUGUCAGAGGUGAAAUUCUUGGAUUUUUGGAAGACGAACUAGUGCGAAAGCAUUUACCAAGGAUGUUUUCAUUAAUCAAGAACGAAA